rnacentral:rRNA from 1 species
UACAGAGGGUGCAAGCGUUAAUCGGAAUUACUGGGCGUAAAGGGUGCGUAGGUGGAUGUUUAAGUGAGAGGUGAAAUCCCCGGGCUUAACCUGGGAACUGCCUCUUAUACUGGGCAUCUGGAGUGUGGUAGAGGGUAGUGGAAUUUCCGGUGUAGCGGUGAAAUGCGUAGAUAUCGGAAGGAACACCAGUGGCGAAGGCGGCUACCUGGACUAGCACUGACACUGAGGCACGAGAGCGUGGGGAGCAAACAGG